rnacentral:rRNA from 1 species
UACGUAGGGUGCAAGCGUUAAUCGGAAUUACUGGGCGUAAAGCGUGCGCAGGCGGCUUUGUAAGUCAGAUGUGAAAUCCCCGGGCUUAACCUGGGAACUGCGUUUGAAACUACAAGGCUAGAGUGUGGCAGAGGGGGGUGGAAUUCCACGUGUAGCAGUGAAAUGCGUAGAGAUGUGGAGGAACACCGAUGGCGAAGGCAGCCCCCUGGGUUAACACUGACGCUCAGGCACGAAAGCGUGGGGAGCAAACAGG